CUGGGGUUGAAAUUUGCAGUAACAGGUGUGAACAUUCUAGCAGCAGUUUGAUGAUCAUGUAUGAUACUGCAAACAGGACUGUGC
rnacentral:miRNA from 1 species